rnacentral:lncRNA from 1 species
AAAGUACAGGUGCGACCUGUAGAGGUGAGGUCCAUUUGGGGGCAGUGAUCAUAGACGAACUGAGCUGGCAAUCAGCUCCCUCAUUAGCAGCCUGGUGAAAAAGCCCAUAGGGGAAGAAAUAAAUAAAGUUGGCAUGUGUUUUAUCCUAUUGGCACAACCCAAGACACAGGUAUACUUGUAAAUGGUAUUUUCAGUAAUAACUGAAAUGUGACACAUGCAUUGUGUCAGACUGUCUGGUGUCUGUUAAUAGUGGGAGAAUUAUAAUAAAGGAGGUCAAGAGUCCAGAUGAAAACAAAGUAAUCUUUCAAAAGCACUGGUUAUGUAGAGCACUUUCUACUUUCCCAUAGAAAUUCCUCAUGAUUGAAGUCACAGUGGCCCUGCACUGGGAUUGAAGAGACCUGGUUUUGAGACUUGGUUCUGCUGGCCACUAGUCAGGAGUCCUUCAGCAAACCACUCGUGCCCUCUGUCCUGUUUCCACAUGUGUAAGAAUAGAGUUGAUACCAACUCUCUGCUUCCAUUCUUCUAUGGGUUGCAUGCAAAACUAUAAACCACUUUGCAAAUGAAAAGCAUUCUUCUUCAUCAUCACCAUCACCACAUCAUUGUCCUUUUGACUUUCUCAGCCAUCCGUGGAGGGGCCAGGCAGAGCAAGUGGACAGUGUUACAGUAGCCAAAGGGGAAUUAGCUGAGCUACCAAACUACAGCCCACAACAGACAGCGGUGGGCAGAUUGAGAACACCUGAUCUUCCCAAAUUGACACUAGGAUCACAGAUGGCAUCAAUGUCUGGGUCUUAUGAAACGAUUAGGACUGUUUCACACAAUUUGGUGUGCUUAUAGGAGCUGCAUUCUUCCAAAGUCCCCAGCAAUAAUUUACAGAGCCACUUGGACAAGCAUGCAAAGACAGAAGUGUUGGGACACACAGUGGUGAAAAAUUCAAGAACUGGAGACAACAGCAUGUCUGUCGAGACAAGGCAUUAUUUAUUAUCUGUUAAAUAAAUCAGAUUGUAUCCCCACAAUAUAAUAAUGAACAGCCAUUCAAAUGGUGAUGUUGAUCCAUAUUUCUUGCCCAGAGAGAUAAAAAUAGAAAAUCCAAUUAAGUUAUUGUCUUUUUG